rnacentral:rRNA from 1 species
GAUGAACGCUGGCGGCGUGCCUAAUACACGCAAGUCGAGCGAACAGACGAGGAGCUUGCUCCUCUGACGUUAGCGGCGGACGGGUGAGUAACACGUGGAUAACCUACCUAUAAGACUGGGAUAACUUCGGGAAACCGGAGCUAAUACCAGCUAAUAUAUUGAACCGCAUGGUUCAAUAGUGAAAGACGGUUUUGCUGUCACUUAUAGAUGGAUCCGCGCCGCAUUAGCUAGUUGGUAAGGUAACGGCUUACCAAGGCAACGAUGCGUAGCCGACCUGAGAGGGUGAUCGGCCACACUGGAACUGAGACACGGUCCAGACUCCUACGGGAGGCAGCAGUAGGGAAUCUUCCGCAAUGGGCGAAAGCCUGACGGAGCAACGCCGCGUGAGUGAUGAAGGUCUUCGGAUCGUAAAACUCUGUUAUUAGGGAAGAACAAAUGUGUAAGUAACUAUGCACGUCUUGACGGUACCUAAUCAGAAAGCCACGGCUAACUACGUG